UGAUGCCCGCGACUUCAUCUGUGUGAAUUUAGUUUUUAAAAAAUCCAUGGGAACUUUUUGUUUAUUCGGUAUAAAAAUCAUCUAUGCCACUCUCCAGGUCUUUACUAAGUAGGUACAGCUAUAACUAUGCAAAAAAUCUCGGCGAUCAGUUGUUAUGGUGCUACGUGAUUGAAGGACAAACCAACAAACAAACACACUCUCGCAUGUAUAAUAGGUAUCGGUAGUGAUUUGUCCAGGAGUUUCGUGGAAAACUUUGGCUUUAGCAAGGAAUUUGGCGACCCUAGUGACGGGAUUCGAUACAUACUAAUUGGAUCAAAUCGAUUCCGGGGAGACUAUUGUUGGGGGUUCGUUUACCGAAUAAUGAGACUUCGUAUACAUUAUGUUGUGGGGAGCCCCGAGCCCCGAGCCCCGGCCGAGGCUUAUGAGUUCCUUGUGCUUAGCUGAUACGGCGGCGAUCGAGCUGUAUUGUUAUUACGAUACUACAAUCAUUUCUGCAUACUAAAAUAUAAGCAGGUAGGUACCUAAUGCCUGGUUUCAUUUUUAUUUAAGACGCAUAAUUCGUAAUGUUUAGACGUUAGAUAAAAUAGCAAUUCAAGCACAAACUCUACGACUUUCGAGGAUUUCUCGUUUUUCUUCAAAAAAGCAUUCCAAAAUCUUCGAGAGAGUAGAGCCACAUACUUAGAACGAAAGGCAGGUGCAAUUCGAUACAUAAAUUUUAAGUUCUCACUCGCCAUUUUAACUCUAAGUGUGUCUAAAAGUACAAACUCAUACUUUUGACAUCACAGUUGACAUAUUAUACCUACAGUUAAAAUAGCGAGUGAAUUCUCAUUUUGUACGAACUAUGACACGGUUUAUUUUAAAAGUGCAGUUUCCACUCUUCAAUCUUUACAAAUUAACUAAUAGGUGCAACUGAUUUUUGGAUUGUAAUUUAAGACUAAUAAGUAUAAAAAUUUAAGACCCACAUAUUAAGAGCGUUCUGAAAUCCGGUUGAUAGUAAUUUUAAGUUCUCUUGGUUUGUUCUAGAAAACCCGUAUAAACUAGAGUUUCAAAUACCUAUCCCAUAUUUAGCUGGAAGAAUAUGCAGAACCAGGUCUGGUGACUACGAGGAGGCAUUGACUUUGGCGGCAGCUCCAGACACCAAACGUUGGCAGCACUCCCUGGGUCCAUGGGAUUGGAUUCCUUCCCGUAAGAUAAAUGAGAAGGGUUCGAACUCAGGAACACGUGAUCAGGAUCUGCAGGCACAAACCACUGCGGCCUUAGCGCUGUAAAAACGCCGAAUGUUGGCAAUAAAAUUAAAGUGAAACCUUGACAGCCAGCUGUAGUGAAGCGAUGUGACACUUUUUUCAGUCGCCUCCGUCAGACAACCGCAAGGGACGGAACCCUAAAAAAGGUGUAUGUUGCGCGGCGCGGGCGGUCGGUAGGCCGAAGGUACCAGGGCGGUUUGCGGUUGCCAGAUUUGCGAGGUGUUAUUACAGGGCACGUGCUACCGGCCGGCGCUGAUUUACGGCGCCGACUACGCCUCCGAGGCCGGCAGCGCACGCGAGCAUGCGGCCCGCUGGAAAUACUCCUAGCUGAAUUCCGACACUACACGAACAAAAUGUCUGAUGUAUUGUACUUAUA